UCUUACGGAUGAGUAAAGAAAGUGUUUUUUUGAGAUGGAAUCUACUUCUGCUGAGUAUGCUGUGAA
rnacentral:pre_miRNA from 1 species